rnacentral:rRNA from 1 species
GACGAACGCUGGCGGCGUGCUUAACACAUGCAAGUCGAACGGAAAGGCCCUGCUUUUGUGGGGUGCUCGAGUGGCGAACGGGUGAGUAACACGUGAGUAACCUGCCCUUGACUUUGGGAUAGCUUCAGGAAACUGGGGCUAAUACCGGAUAGGAGCUCCUGCUGCAUGGUGGGGGUUGGAAAGUUUCGGCGGUUGGGGAUGGACUCGCGGCUUAUCAGCUUGUUGGUGGGGUAGUGGCUUACCAAGGCUUUGACGGGUAGCCGGCCUGAGAGGGUGACCGGCCACAUUGGGACUGAGAUACGGCCCAGACUCCUACGGGAGGCAGCAGUGGGGAAUAUUGCACAAUGGGCGGAAGCCUGAUGCAGCAACGCCGCGUGCGGGAUGACGGCCUUCGGGUUGUAAACCGCUUUCGCCUGUGACGAAGCGUGAGUGACGGUAAUGGGUAAAGAAGCACCGGCUAACUACGUGCCAGCAGCCGCGGUGAUACGUAGGGUGCGAGCGUUGUCCGGAUUUAUUGGGCGUAAAGGGCUCGUAGGUGGUUGAUCGCGUCGGAAGUGUAAUCUUGGGGCUUAACCCUGAGCGUGCUUUCGAUACGGGUUGACUUGAGGAAGGUAGGGGAGAAUGGAAUUCCUGGUGGAGCGGUGGAAUGCGCAGAUAUCAGGAGGAACACCAGUGGCGAAGGCGGUUCUCUGGGCCUUUCCUGACGCUGAGGAGCGAAAGCGUGGGGAGCGAACAGGCUUAGAUACCCUGGUAGUCCACGCUGUAAACGGUGGGUACUAGGUGUGGGGUCCAUUCCACGGGUUCCGUGCCGUAGCUAACGCUUUAAGUACCCCGCCUGGGGAGUACGGCCGCAAGGCUAAAACUCAAAGGAAUUGACGGGGCCCCGCACAAGCGGCGGAGCAUGCGGAUUAAUUCGAUGCAACGCGUAGAACCUUACCUGGGUUUGACAUGGAUCGGGAGCGCUCAGAGAUGGGUGUGCCUCUUUUGGGGUCGGUUCACAGGUGGUGCAUGGCUGUCGUCAGCUCGCGUCGUGAGAUGUUGGGUUAAGUCCCGCAACGAGCGCAACCCUUGUUCACUGUUGCCAGCACGUUAUGGUGGGGACUCAGUGGAGACCGCCGGGGUCAACUCGGAGGAAGGUGGGGAUGACGUCAAGUCAUCAUGCCCCUUAUGUCCAGGGCUUCACGCAUGCUACAAUGGCUGGUAUAGAGAGUGGCGAGCCUGUGAGGGUGAGCGAAUCUCGGAAAGCCGGUCUCAGUUCGGAUUGGGGUCUGCAACUCGACCUCAUGAAGUCGGAGUCGCUAGUAAUCGCAGAUCAGCAACGCUGCGGUGAAUACGUUCCCGGGGCU